CACGCCCUAAACGAUGUCAACUGGUUGUUGGGUUUUAAUUAACUCAGUAACGAAGCUAACGCGUGAAGUUGACCGCCUGGGGAGUNACGCGAAAAACCUUACCCACCUUUGACAUGUAUGGAAUCCUGAAGAGAUUUAGGAGUGCUCGAAAGAGAGCCAUAACACAGGUGC
rnacentral:rRNA from 1 species